CCGUUUAGACACACCGAAGCUCUGCCGAUUUUCUGUUCAAGCUUUUGCUUAGUUUUCUUUUUCCAGCAGAAUUAAUAUUGUUUAUUUUAUUUAUUUCUUUUGCAAGUUUUAUUUUCUUUUUCCCUUGCAAUUUAUCUUCCCCGUUUUUAGCUUUUAGAUAUUUUUCGCGUAGUAGUUUCUACACCGGAAACUACUGUGCAACUUUAUACCGGAUUUAACCUUACGUUAUAUUCGAGUUUUUUUUAUUUCCUUGAUUUAAUUUACUGUUUAAUUGAAGAAUCGAAGAACAAAUCCUACCGGCUUGUGG
rnacentral:lncRNA from 1 species